rnacentral:rRNA from 1 species
GACGAACGCUGGCGGCGUGCUUAACACAUGCAAGUCGAACGGAAAGGCCCUGCUUUUGUGGGGUGCUCGAGUGGCGAACGGGUGAGUAACACGUGAGUAACCUGCCCUUGACUUUGGGAUAACUUCAGGAAACUGGGGCUAAUACCGGAUAGGAGCUCCUGCUGCAUGGUGGGGGUUGGAAAGUUUCGGCGGUUGGGGAUGGACUCGCGGCUUAUCAGCUUGUUGGUGGGGUAGUGGCUUACCAAGGCUUUGACGGGUAGCCGGCCUGAGAGGGUGACCGGCCACAAUGGGACCGAGAUACCGCCCAGACUCCUACGGGAGGCAGCAGUGGGGAAUAUUGCACAAUGGGCGGAAGCCUGAUGCAGCAACGCCGCGUGCGGGAUGACGGCCUUCGGGUUGUAAACCGCUUUCGCCUGUGACGAAGCGUGAGUGACGGUAAUGGGUAAAGAAGCACCGGCUAACUACGUG